rnacentral:rRNA from 1 species
UUGAACGCUGGCGGCAUGCCUUACACAUGCAAGUCGAACGGGCAGGGCACGGGAGCAAUCCUGUAUGCGAGUGGCGAACGGGUGCAGUAAUAGCAUCGGAACGUGUCCGCAGUAUGGGGGAUAAGCUCGGCGAAGCCGAGCUAAUACCGCAUACGACUCUGAGGGUGAAAGCGGGGGAUCGCGAAGGACCUCGCUGCUAUGGGGAGCGGCCGAUGUCAGAUUAGCUAGUUGGUGGGGUAAGGCCUACCAAGGCGACGAUCUGUAGUUGGUCUGAGAGGAGACUCAGCCACACUUGGACUGAGACACGGCCAGAGACUCCUACGGGAGGCAGCAUUGGGGAAUUUUGGACAAUGGGCGGCAAGCCUGAUCCAGCAUGCCGCGUGCAGGAAGAAGGCCUUCGGGUUGUAAACGCUUUUGUCAGGGGAAGGAAAUCUUCUGGGUUAAAUACCUCGGGGAUUGACAGUACCUGAAGAAUAAGCACCGGCUAACUACGUGCCAGCAGCCGCGGUAAUACUGUAGGGUGCGAGCGUUAAUCGAAAUUACUGGGCGUAAGCGUGCACAGGCGGCCUUUGCAAGACAGAUUGAAAUCCCGGGCUCAACCUGGGAACUGGCAUUUGUAACGGCAAAGGCUAGAGUACGGCAGAGGGGGAUGAAUUCCGCGUGUAGCAGUGAAAUGCGUAGAUAUGCGGAGGAACCCGAUGGCGAGGCAAUCCCCUGGGCCUGUACUGACGCUCAUGCACGAAAGCGUGGGGAGCAAACAGGUUAGAUACCCUGGUAGUCCACGCCUAAACGAUGUCAACUGGUUGUUGGGACGGCUUGCUGUUCAGUAACGAAGCUAACGCGUGAAGUUGACCGCCUGGGGAGUACGGCGCCGCAAGGUUGAAAAACUCAAAGGAAUUGACGGGGACCCGCACAAGCGGUGGAUGAUGUGUUUAGUUCGAUGCAACGCGAAAACCUUACCUACCCUUGACAUGCUAGGAAUUCUGCAGAGAUGUGGAAGUGCUCGAAAGAGAACCUAGACACAGGUGCUGCAUGGCCGUCGUCAGCUCGUGUCGUGAGAUGUUGGGUUAAGUCCCGCAACGAGCGCAACCCUUGUCAUUAGUUGCUACGAAGGGCACUCUAAUGAGAACUGCCGGUGACAAACCGGAGGAAGGUGGUGGAUGACGUCAGGUCCUCAUGGCCCUUAUGGGUAGGGCUACACACGUCAUACAAUGGCCGGUACAGAGGGCUGCCAACCCCGCGAGGGGGAGCCAAUCCCAGAAAACCGGUCGUAGUCCGGAUCGCAGUCUGCAUCUCGACUGCGUGAAGUCGGAAUCGCUAGUAAUCGCGGAUCAGCUUGCCGCGGUGAAUUACGUUCCCGGGUCUUGUACACACCGCCCGUCACACAUGGGAGCGGGUUCUGCCAGAAGUAGUUAGCCUAACCGCAAGGAGGGCGAUUACCACGGCAGGGUUCGUGACUGGGGUG